UACGAUGGAGGGCAAGCGUUGUCCGGAAUCAUUGGGCGUAAAGAGCGUGUAGGCGGCCCGGUAAGUCCGCUGUGAAAGUCCAGGGCUCAACCCUGGGAUGCCGGUGGAUACUGUCGGGCUCGAGUCCGGAAGAGGAGUGUGGAAUUCCUGGUGUAGCGGUGAAAUGCGCAGAUAUCAGGAGGAACACCAAUGGCGAAGGCAGCACUCUGGGACGGUACUGACGCUGAGACGCGAAAGCGUGGGGAGCGAACAGG
rnacentral:rRNA from 1 species